rnacentral:rRNA from 1 species
UACGUAGGGUGCGAGCGUUAAUCGGAAUUACUGGGCGUAAAGUGUGUGCAGGCGGCCGCGCAAGUCGAGUGUGAAAGCCCCGGGCUUAACUUGGGAAUUGCGCUCGAAACUACGUGGCUGGAGUGUGGCAGAGGAAGGUGGAAUUCCACGUGUAGCGGUGAAAUGCGCAGAUAUCAGGAGGAACACCAGCGGCGAAGGCGGCGCUCUGGGCCGGUACUGACACUGAGGAGCGAAAGCGUGGGUAGCAAACAGG